UACGUAGGCAGCAAGCGUUGUUCGGAGUUACUGGGCGUAAAGGGUGUGUAGGCGGUUUUCUAAGUCUGUUGUGAAAGCCCCGGGCUCAACCUGGGAAUGGCAGUGGAUACUGGCAAGCUAGAGUGCGGUAGAGGGUAGUGGAAUUCCCGGUGUAGCGGUGAAAUGCGCAGAUAUCAGGAGGAACACCGAUGGCGAAGGCAGGUCUCUGGGCAUUAACUGACGCUGAGGAGCGAAAGCAUGGGGAGCGAACAGG
rnacentral:rRNA from 1 species